CCGAAGGAAGUUAUGAAAGGGAGAAUAUGGACGAUGAUUUCAGGACUUGCUGCUAUCGAAUACAGAUCGCCCCGUGAUCAAUUUGAUCGAUUAUUAACGUUCAUUAAUACCUAAAGUUGGUUUACAAAGGUAGUUUGAAGUGUUGUGUCAAAGUUUAUAGGCAACUUUUUUAAUUUAAAAAAAUACCGUUGCGUUUUAGAAAGGUGCUUUUUCCUGGAUCAGACGGGCUUCAUAAAUGGACAUUUUGGGUAUACAUGGACGGAUUUAAUCGAAAAAAGGACCCAAUUGUGAUGUUUAUGGGACAUAUAGGAGUGCCAACAAAGAAGCUCGUCAAAGCUGCAGCCGGCUGUCACCUCACCCUACAACAGCCACUCUGCCCUGCCCUAUUCGGCUUGUCAUCUCUCCCGUCGCCUUCUUCAUCGCUCCCGAGAGAACCCGUGGAGAUGUCCAAGCUCCAGAAUUUCAGUGACAGGGCCUUCUCCAGGGUUGCUCCUAGACUCUGGAACUCCCUCCCUCCAGCCAUCCGCGACUCUGAGUCCAUCAUCAUGUUUCAGUCCCGCCUAAAAACCCACCUCUUCACCAUGGCCUACCCUUACCUCCCCCUCCACCAUUCCCACACACACCUCUUCUGUUUCACACACUCGCACACACACUCACACAUACACGCAACACCUGCUCGCUCACUCACCUGCUAUCUCACUCACAUACUCACACAUCACACCCUUUCCUUGAGCCCUUCUUACCUCCAUUUAGCCCCGUUUACCUGGUUCUAACAUGCAUUAUAUGUCCUGAUCUUGUCCACAGUCUGAUUGUUCCUACAUUUUCAGACAAGUGUAGACGAUUAAAAGGAGCAUUGUGAUCAGAUCUUCCUGACCACGUCUGGAGUUGACAGUGAAACCAUUUCAAUCAUCCUGCCUUAUAAAAUCAUUGACAGGUGACACCAUUGACUUAUGGAAUAGAUAUGUGUCUUAAAAUAAAUAAAGUCAAGUAUUAUUUUUAAAGAAUAUCUGUCAAAUAAUUAGCAUACAAGGCGGGACC
ensembl:lncRNA